rnacentral:rRNA from 1 species
UACAGAGGGUGCGAGCGUUAAUCGGAAUUACUGGGCGUAAAGCGUGCGUAGACGGUUAUAUAAGUCGGAUGUGAAAGCCCCGGGCUCAACCUGGGAAUUGCAUUCGAGACUGCAUAGCUAGGGUGCGGAAGAGGGAAGCGGAAUUUCGGGUGUAGCGGUGAAAUGCGUAGAUAUCCGAAGGAACAUCAGUGGCGAAAGCGGCUUCCUGGUCCAGCACCGACGUUCAGGCAUGAAAGCGUGGGGAGCAAACAGG